rnacentral:rRNA from 1 species
UACGUAGGGCGCGAGCGUUGUCCGGAAUUAUUGGGCGUAAAGAGCUCGUAGGCGGUUUGUCGCGUCGGUUGUGAAAACCCAAGGCUCAACCUUGGGCCUGCAAUCGAUACGGGCAGACUAGAGUACUGCAGGGGAGACUGGAAUUCCUGGUGUAGCGGUGGAAUGCGCAGAUAUUAGGAGGAACACCGGUGGCGAAGGCGGCUCUCUGGACCGAGACUGACGCUGAGGCGCGGAAGCGUGGGGAGCAAACAGG